rnacentral:lncRNA from 1 species
CUUGAAGCAUUAUUCAUAAAUGCUGAAAAAGGUUAUUACUACUACUACUACUACUACUACUACUACUAUACUAGUUAUUACUAGUAUAGCAAUCAAUGAUUUUGAGCCAAUGAUAUUGAAGUCAGGGUUAUACCAGGUUAUAUUAUUUUUCCCCUGACCCCUGCAUAAACUUUUUCGCUUUUUUUUACAUGGCGUUGGGUAUUUGCCAAAAAAACCUUCAACCAAGGGGACUUCAUAUCAUUUCUGACUCUGAAGCGCAGAGGAGGAGAGAGGUGUACACACCAACCCAGCGUGUUUUCAUUUUUGACCUUGCUGGAAAGUCUCUAUGGUAGGUUUACAUCUCUCUUUCCAAUUUGUACUGUUGGUUGUGUAGGUUAGAAUUGCAUUUGACCUUACUGCUUUAACGUCACCGCUUAUUCAGAAACUGGAUGAUGUUGUUUGUUUUAGUGUUGAUGGUGCCAAAGAGGAUGGGUCCCUGGGUAGGUUGGUUAAUGAUGACCACUUGAACCCAAACAGCAGAAUGAGGCUGGUGGAGGUGGAUAAAAUAAGCCACAUUUGCCUAUUUGCGACCAGGCCUAUAAGCAUAAGUGAAGGAUCUCCUAGAAUUAUGGAGGAAAAGACUGGCCAUGGCGAAAGGUAUGUAUCAGUUUGUGCAAGCUAAUAUACUGGAUUUGUGCAAUAUUUUCUCAGAUGUGCAAGGUUAAGUGGUUUGUGCAAAGUCCUUAAAAGGCAGAACAGUAAUGUUCACUAGCUGCCUGUUUUCCUUCUUGUUCAGCAGCCUAUUUCUGUUAGGCAGAAACUUGUUUACUCUCACAGGGCAGUGUCAUAACUAGUGGGGACCACAUGCUUUUGUAUUGUGUUUUACAGAAGCCAGCAGAGCCUACAACCUCACCUGACAGUGCAUUCGUAGACACUCCUCCAGCUACUGUGGAAGGCGUGUCCUCUUUGCCAGAGCCCUGUGACACGACAAGCGUGGACAACAACACGGCAGAACAGACACAGAUAAAGUAGAAGACUUCAGCACAGCACCGGCAGCAGGCCAUUAAAAAGAAACAAAAGACUGUAAGUCAUUUGGAUGUUGAGCAUGAAAUUCACAAAUUUAUUAAUGGUACCUGCGGGCUGGAUGUGGCCCGUGGGGCGUUUAAUGGGCUUGGCUGCUGGUCACCUUGCCAUGUGGAAGACAGUGAAGGCAUCAGGCUGGACUCUGACGUUAUUUUCCUAACUUUGUAAAAUAUUGUUGCUUUGUAUUUGUUGCUGCGCCUGCGGCGAACACGUGUUGUAGCGGCAUCACUAACAUAGAAUUGAAGUGAAUAGAUC